rnacentral:rRNA from 1 species
UACGAAGGGGGCUAGCGUUGCUCGGAAUUACUGGGCGUAAAGGGAGCGUAGGCGGGUUAUCAAGUUGGAGGUGAAAGCCCAGGGCUCAACCUUGGAAUUGCCUUCAAAACUGAUAGCCUAGAGUAUGAUAGAGGUAAGUGGAACUCCGAGUGUAGAGGUGAAAUUCGUAGAUAUUCGGAAGAACACCAGUGGCGAAGGCGACUUACUGGAUCAUGACUGACGCUGAGGCUCGAAAGCGUGGGGAGCGAACAGG